rnacentral:rRNA from 1 species
GGGUUGUGAGGUUAAGCGACUAAGCGUACACGGUGGAUGCCCUGGCAGUCAGAGGCGAUGAAGGGCGUGCUAAUCUGCGAUAAGCGCCGGUAAGGUGAUAUGAACCGUUAUAACCGGCGAUACCCGAAUGGGGAAACCCAGUGUGACUCGUCACACUAUCAUUAACUGAAUCCAUAGGUUAAUGAGGCGAACCGGGGGAACUGAAACAUCUAAGUACCCCGAGGAAAAGAAAUCAACCGAGAUUCCCCCAGUAGCGGCGAGCGAACGGGGAGGAGCCCAGAGCCUGAAUCAGCAUGUGUGUUAGUGGAAGCGUCUGGAAAGGCGCGCGAUACAGGGUGACAGCCCCGUACACAAAAGCGCAUGUGCUGUGAGCUCGAUGAGUAGGGCGGGACACGUGGUAUCCUGUCUGAAUAUGGGGGGACCAUCCUCCAAGGCUAAAUACUCCUGACUGACCGAUAGUGAACCAGUACCGUGAGGGAAAGGCGAAAAGAACCCCGGCGAGGGGAGUGAAAAAGAACCUGAAACCGUGUACGUACAAGCAGUGGGAGCCCCACCACUAAGCCAGUGGUGAACUCCACAUACGCAUCCUUUGCUGAGGAUACGGUUAACGGAGCGAAAGCGACGUUCAACCUCAAAAGAAGCAGAGGGGGCUUAGUGGUGGGGUGACUGCGUACCUUUUGUAUAAUGGGUCAGCGACUUAUAUUCUGUAGCAAGGUUAACCGAAUAGGGGAGCCGGAGGGAAACCGAGUCUUAACCGGGCGUUAAGUUGCAGGGUAUAGACCCGAAACCCGGUGAUCUAGCCAUGGGCAGGUUGAAGGUUGGGUAACACUAACUGGAGGACCGAACCGACUAAUGUUGAAAAAUUAGCGGAUGACCUGUGGCUGGGGGUGAAAGGCCAAUCAAACCGGGAGAUAGCUGGUUCUCCCCGAAAGCUAUUUAGGUAGCGCCUCGUGAACUCAUCUCCGGGGGUAGAGCACUGUUUCGGCUAGGGGGCCAUCCCGGCUUACCAACCCGAUGCAAACUGCGAAUACCGGAGAAUGUUAUCACGGGAGACACACGGCGGGUGCUAACGUCCGUCGUGAAGAGGGAAACAACCCAGACCGCCAGCUAAGGUCCCAAAGUCAUGGUUAAGUGGGAAACGAUGUGGGAAGGCCCAGACAGCCAGGAUGUUGGCUUAGAAGCAGCCAUCAUUUAAAGAAAGCGUAAUAGCUCACUGGUCGAGUCGGCCUGCGCGGAAGAUGUAACGGGGCUAAACCAUGCACCGAAGCUGCGGCAGCGACACUGUGUGUUGUUGGGUAGGGGAGCGUUCUGUAAGCCUGUGAAGGUGGCCUGUGAGGGUUGCUGGAGGUAUCAGAAGUGCGAAUGCUGACAUAAGUAACGAUAAAGCGGGUGAAAAGCCCGCUCGCCGGAAGACCAAGGGUUCCUGUCCAACGUUAAUCGGGGCAGGGUGAGUCGACCCCUAAGGCGAGGCCGAAAGGCGUAGUCGAUGGGAAACGGGUUAAUAUUCCCGUACUUGGUGUUACUGCGAAGGGGGGACGGAGAAGGCUAUGUUGGCCGGGCGACGGUUGUCCCGGUUUAAGCGUGUAGG